CCUUUGAUGGCCGAGAAUUAGGCAUUAAGCUUUUAACUUAACUACAGUUUUUCUUCAAAGGU
rnacentral:tRNA from 1 species